GUGAGGAAUAUUGGUCAAUGGGCGAGAGCCUGAACCAGCCAAGUAGCGUGCAGGAUGACGGCCCUAUGGGUUGUAAACUGCUUUUAUGCGGGGAUAAAGUGAGCCACGUGUGGCUUAUUGCAGGUACCGCAUGAAUAAGGACCGGCUAAUUCCGUGCCAGCAGCCGCGGUAAUACGGAAGGUCCGGGCGUUAUCCGGAUUUAUUGGGUUUAAAGGGAGCGUAGGCCGUCUGAUAAGCGUGUUGUGAAAUGUCGGGGCUCAACCUGGGCAUUGCAGCGCGAACUGUCAGACUUGAGUGCGCGGGAAGUAGGCGGAAUUCGUCGUGUAGCGGUGAAAUGCUUAGAUAUGACGAAGAACUCCGAUUGCGAAGGCAGCCUGCUGUAGCGCAACUGACGCUGAAGCUCGAAAGCGUGGGUAUCGAACAGGAUUAGAUACCCUGGUAGUCCACGCGGUAAACGAUGGAUGCUCGCUGUUUGCGUCUGACGUAAGCGGCCAAGCGAAAGCGUUAAGCAUCCCACCUGGGGAGUACGCCGGCAACGGUGAAACUCAAAGGAAUUGACGGGGGCCCGCACAAGCGGAGGAACAUGUGGUUUAAUUCGAUGAUACGCGAGGAACCUUACCCGGGCUCGAACGGCACCUGAAUCACCCAGAGAUGGGUGGGUCUUCGGACAGGUGUCGAGGUGCUGCAUGGUUGUCGUCAGCUCGUGCCGUGAGGUGUCGGCUUAAGUGCCAUAACGAGCGCAACCCCUCUCCUUAGUUGCCAUCAGGUGAUGCUGGGCACUCUGGGGACACUGCCACCGUAAGGUGUGAGGAAGGUGGGGAUGACGUCAAAUCAGCACGGCCCUUACGUCCGGGGCUACACACGUGUUACAAUGGGGGGUACAGAGCGUUGCUUUCACGCGAGUGAUUGCGGACCGCAAAAACCCUUCUCAGUUCGGACUGGAGUCUGCAACCCGACUCCACGAAGCUGGAUUCGCUAGUAAUCGCGCAUCAGCCAUGGCGCGGUGAAUACGUUCCCGGGCCUUGUACACACCGCCCGUCAAGCCAUGAAAGCCGGGGGCGCCUGAAGUCCGUGACCGUAAGGAGCGGCCUAGGGCGAAACUGGUAAUUGGGGCUAAGUCGUAACAAGGUAGCCGUACCGGAAGGUGCGGCUG
rnacentral:rRNA from 1 species